rnacentral:rRNA from 1 species
AUUCUACGGGAGGCAGCAGUGGGGAAUAUUGGACAAUGGGCGCAAGCCUGAUCCAGCCAUGCCGCGUGAGUGAUGAAGGCCCUAGGGUUGUAAAGCUCUUUCACCGGUGAAGAUAAUGACGGUAACCGGAGAAGAAGCCCCGGCUAACUUCGUGCCAGCAGCCGCGGUAAUAAU